GGACUACCGGGGUAUCUAAUCCUGUUUGCUCCCCACGCUUUCGCGCCUCAGCGUCAGUCUCGGUCCAGUGAGCCGCCUUCGCCACCGGUGUUCUUCCCAAUAUCUACGAAUUUCACCUCUACACUGGGAAUUCCACCCACCUCUCCCGAACUCUAGCCAACCAGUCUCAAAUGCUAUUCCCAGGUUGAGCCCGGGGCUUUCACAUCUGACUUGGUCGGCCGCCUGCGCGCCCUUUACGCCCAGUAAUUCCGAACAACGCUUGCCCCCUUCGUAUUACCGCGGCUGCUGGCAC
rnacentral:rRNA from 1 species